GAUGAACGCUGACAGAAUGCUUAACACAUGCAAGUCGAUUCAAGUUACCUUCGGGUAAUGAGGAUGGCGGACGGGUGAGUAACGCGUAAGGAACUUGCCUCUUGGUCUGGGACAACUGUUGGAAACGACAGCUAAUACCGGAUAUUAUGAGAUUCUCGCAUGGGAAACUUAUGAAAGCUAUAUGCGCCAAGAGAGAGCCUUGCGUUCCAUUAGCUAGUUGGUGGGGUAACGGCCCACCAAGGCGACGAUGGAUAGCCGGCCUGAGAGGGUGAACGGCCACAAGGGGACUGAGACACGGCCCUUACUCCUACGGGAGGCAGCAGUGGGGAAUAUUGGACAAUGGGCCACAAGCCUGAUCCAGCAAUUCUGUGUGCACGAUGAAGGUCUUCGGAUUGUAAAGUGCUUUCAGUUGGGAAGAAGAAAGUGACGGUACCAACAGAAGAAGCGACGGCUAAAUACGUGCCAGCAGCCGCGGUAAUACGUAUGUCGCAAGCGUUAUCCGGANUUAUUGGGCGUAAAGCGCGUCUAGGCGGAAAAAUAAGUCUGAUGUUAAAAUGCGGGGCUCAACUCCGUAUUGCGUUGGAAACUGUUUUUCUAGAGUACUG
rnacentral:rRNA from 1 species